AUACAGAGGGUGCGAGCGUUAAUCGGAAUUACUGGGCGUAAAGCGCGCGUAGGCGGCUUAUUAAGUCAGAUGUGAAAUCCCCGGGCUCAACCUGGGAACUGCAUCUGAUACUGGUAAGCUAGAGUUUUGGAGAGGGUAGUAGAAUUUCAGGUGUAGCGGUGAAAUGCAUAGAGAUCUGAAGGAAUACCAGUGGCGAAGGCGACUUCCUGGCCAAAAACUGACGCUGAGGUGCGAAAGCGUGGGUAGCAAACGGGAUUAGAAACCCGGGUAGUCC
rnacentral:rRNA from 1 species